rnacentral:lncRNA from 1 species
GAGUGGAACAUGGCGGCCUCCUUGCCGCUUGCGUUACCAGAGUCCACCCGGCCUCGUGCUUUCUCCGGGCGCCCGUAGCUGGCGCCGGCAUCCACAAAAAUAGAUCAGGUUUGAAUUGUCACUAUCCUAUGCUCUUGCCUGACAGACCCUGAGAGCCUACUGACCACAGCAGCUCCUGUUACCACGGCUGCCGUUUCUGCUCUCAAUGCUACUGCUCAUUGAUCCCAGGGAGGAAAAUUCUGGUGCAUCACUUAGUAUUUAUUUCAGGUACUGAAUACCAUUUGUGAAAAUAUUGAUAUGCCUACAACAGAAAACAUCUUUGGAAGGACAUACCAGACAUUUGCUGUGAGGAGAACAGUAUGGAUAGUGAGUGACCAGCAGAGGAUGAAUAAAGAGGAAGCUCCAGGCUGUGAAGCGUCUAGUCCUUGCUCCCCUCAGAAGCUGGGACAUGUUGGACCAAGGUGGUAAGGAUAGUGAGGGGCCAAAGAUUUAACAAUAUACUGUGAUGCUGGGGCUGGGAGGAGAUUGCACCUUUAUAGCCUGGUGGUGGCAGUCCAGAGUGCAACCCCUAGAGAUGGUAACUUGACAAGACCUCUCAAAAACACUACACACAGCUUUUGAGCCCCUCAUCCCACUUCUGAGAGUAAGUCCUAUGGCAACAUGUGCACACGUGGAAAAUGAAGUCUGUACAAGGAAUCAAAUUUCUUUCCAUCUUCAAGCAUCCCUGUGAAAAAGACGACUGUAACAUGAGCAGCAGAGUAAUGACACAAGACAAGUCAGAAACCAGCAGCAGAGCACUCAUCAGAGAUGCCAGUGCUGAAGAGUCUGGCAGGAACUGCAGUAUCUAGGGAGGGUUUCCUGUGACCUCACUGUUCCCAGAAGCUGGACAAGCCACGACGGCGCCUUCCAAUAAAAGGGGAACUCCAGAGACGCUAUGAGAAAAGAGGAACAGACAUCUGCAAUAGAUAUCUGCAACUUCCUUUUCAAAAACACCAUCGGCAUUGCUUUCUCAGGAAGCCACUGCCAGCCUAUUGUGAUAGCUGACACUGAGUUCCUGAGAAUUCUCUAAUUAGGAUCCCAGAUUGGAGGGUCAGCCAGUGGUUAACAUAUAAUGGACACAAAACUGAUUUUACUGGAAGACUGAGGGUGGGCACUCACCAUGGUUCUAAGCAUUCAUUACUCAGAAGAUCCAUAAAAACAUUACAGUUCUGUUGUGUAAGAGUUUAGGAAAAAAAGAAAAUCCUGACAAAAAUCCCAACCUAAAAAACAGUGUCAACAUUUGUAAGUAGGAUGGGGAGGCAGAGAUGAAUUGGCAGUGUUAUCACAGCUACUGGACUAUGUGGACUUUAACAAAGUAAGAAACGGGUGGGGGUUGGGUGGUGGUAUCUUAAUAGAGCAGGAGUAGAGACGGAUGUCCUGGGGCAGAAUGGGUACCAAUGCUGCCUGAAGCCUGGAGCUGGGAGCUGAGGACUAAGAGGUAGACAGGAGGGUGGGGACCGGUACCUGCUCCAAGGAACUGGUGCCCCAGAACUGGUGAGCUGGGGUAUGCAUUUAGCUCAUUCGUUUACCAGAAUGCAGUCACCACCUGAUGAAAGAAAUGACUAAUGGCAGGACUUGAACAGUUCUCUAUAAAUGAGUACCUGGGAGAAAAACAGGUCUCCAGGCUCCACAAUACCCAAUAAACACACUGCCUUUAGCCCACUUCAAGCUGCACUUCUUACAUGGAACCCAACCCAACCAACCUCAGAGGUAAGGGUGAGAGCAGGCAAUGAACAGCUAUGAUUCUCCAUUCCCUGGCCAGGCAGGGAGCCUUUCCAUCCACCCUCGUGAGACUGCUUGUAACAGAAAUAAGGAAACCGACUCCAAGGCUCAGUAACCCACCCAAGGUCAGAACCACGGAGUGGCAGGGCCUGUGAGCCACAAAGGAGACUGAAAACCAGAAAGAGCUUCUCUCUGGUCUGUUAUUUUAAGAAAAACAUGCCCAGAGGGGCCACCUGGAAGCAAGGCUGUGUGGCACCCUCACCUUCCUAAUUAAACAACAACUUCCCAGGAGCAACGACAGCAACAACAGCCUGGCCCAGCAGAUGAACUCGAAUCAAUCCAAGCCCUUCCCCUAUACGGGUCAGUUUGGGCACUACUUUACCUGCUGUGAAGUCUACUGGGAUCUUCCAGGAAAGUCCCACCUCAUUAGUAAAAAGAAAAACAAAGACUCGGGAAGAAAGUUCCUGCCCUCCCUGUUGAAUGCUGUGUGAGGAUAA